GAAAAACCGACGAUUGUGUCGUAUUUCAGGCUGCCAAACGCUAAUUUCUAUGGCGAAAAGAGUUUAAUUGGAUUGUGAUCAAAAGUAACCUAGUUGCUUUUAAACUUCUAUUCACGUUUGACAUAAAAAUUAACGUUGUUUUCCAACAACGUUGAUAUGCCAAUCAUUGCGGAAUUCAGUCUGCGCAGUAAAGGUACAAUGAAUUGACGGAAUCCUUAGAGUUAAAUGUUUAAUUCAAUAUUAUUCAUCUGAAGCUAAGUAACAUUAGUUGAACAAAGUCAAGAUGGUGGUCCCGAUCCAAUCGUUAUUUCUUGAACUUUCGACUGGGCGGUGAUCUUGUUUGAUUGACGUUAACGUUCGUGUUGAUUGGUUGCCUACCUGGUCUAGACUGGCACAAUGAGUUUGCAUCGCAGCCAAUUAUGUUCGAGUUUCUAAACAGUCGCAGCGUUUGGUGUAUGUACACAAAUUGCUCAAGAACUUGGCCAACAUCCGCCUUUACCUCUCAGCCUGACUUCAACUGGCGACAGAAGAUAAUAAAAUAUGCAUGAUGUGGUUCACCGCAAACCUAAAGGCAUUUCUGGAACCGAAGUUUCCUGAGCGUUCAACAUGGAUGGCUAUAGCAUUGCACACGAAUAGCCUUUAAGGAACGCAUAUGACAAUACCAAAAAGAAAUAUCAUCAGCUGGCCGUUUAUGAAGGAAAGUAGCCAAUAUCCAUUAGAGCUUUCGGCAAGCUCCUUUAGCUAUUUCAAUAGCAAAAGAAGAAGAAGCUGUAUGUCCCGCAGUUCAACCUUCCUGUGAAAAACGUACGGACACACACAACAUCAUGCAGCCGGGGAACGCCAAGGCUUAUUUUUGACUCUCAGCAGCUGAGUGAGAGAGGAGAGCAACAGCCGCUGAAUAAAAAAGCAACAUAGGGAACUCUCACGAGGAGGGGCGCUUCUGAAACAAGAAGCCAAACAACAAAACACGCACACCGAAAAGAUCCUUUUCUCACUGGCGCUCUUCGCGUUUGCUCGCUUAUUUUGUUGUACUCUUUUUGAAUCCGCAUCCUGUGGAAGAGAUGAUGGUAUGCAGCUGGGCGGAGACAUGAAGAAAGGGGUUUCUUUUCUUUUUUUGGCCCGGCUUUCCCGACUCCGCGGAUUCACGCCGACCGCGUCCCGACCAACCCGAAACAGCUGAGAGUCACGAAGUCAAAACGACUAGUGUAUGCGUACCUUAGUGUUGACUGGCAAGGAUUUUUCUUUUGCCUUUAAGAAACUUGUGGGAGUCUAGUGUAUAGAAGCGACAACUUCAAAUCAGUUCA